GAUGAACGCUGGCGGCGUGCCUAAUACAUGCAAGUCGAGCGAACGGACGGGAAGCUUGCUUCUCUGAUGUUAGCGGCGGACGGGUGAGUAACACGUGGAUAACCUACCUAUAAGACUGGGAUAACUUCGGGAAACCGGAGCUAAUACCGGAUAAUAUUUUGAACCGCAUGGUUCAAAAGUGAAAGACGGUCUUGCUGUCACUUAUAGAUGGAUCCGCGCUGCAUUAGCUAGUUGGUAAGGUAACGGCUUACCAAGGCAACGAUGCAUAGCCGACCUGAGAGGGUGAUCGGCCACACUGGAACUGAGACACGGUCCAGACUCCUACGGGAGGCAGCAGUAGGGAAUCUUCCGCAAUGGGCGAAAGCCUGACGGAACAACGCCGCGUGAGUGAUGAAGGUCUUCCGAUCGUAAAACUCUGUUAUUAGGGAAGAACAUAUGUGUAAGUAACUGUGCACAUCUUGACGGUACCUAAUCAGAAAGCCACGGCUAACUACGUGCCAGCAGCCGCGGUAAUACGUANGUGGCAAGCGUUAUCCGGAAUUAUUGGGCGUAAAGCGCGCGUAGGCGGUUUUUUAAGUCAGCGGUGAAAUCCUGCAGCUUAACUGUAGAACUGCCGUUGAUACUGUUAGUCUUGAGUGUAUUUGAAGUGGCUGGAAUAAGUAGUGUAGCGGUGAAAUGCAUAGAUAUUACUUAGAACACCAAUUGCGAAGGCAGGUCACUAAGAUACAACUGACGCCGAGGGACGAAAGCGUGGGGAGCGAACAGGAUUAGAUACCCUGGUAGUCCACGCUGUAAACGAUGCUAACUCGUUUUUGGUUUUUAUGAAUCAGAGACUAAGCGAAAGUGAUAAGUUAGCCACCUGGGGAGUACGCUCGCAAGAGUGAAACUCAAAGGAAUUGACGGGGGCCCGCACAAGCGGUGGAUUAUGUGGUUUAAUUCGAUGAUACGCGAGGAACCUUACCCAGACCUAAAUGGGGAUUGACAGCUGUAGAGAUACGGUUUUCUUCGGGGGGACAGAGUGACAGGUGCUGCAUGGUUGUCGUCAGCUCGUGUCGUGAGAUGUUGGGUUAAGUCCUGCAACGAGCGCAACCCUUAAGCUUAGUUGCCAUCAUUAAGUUGGGCACUCUAAGUUGACUGCCGGUGACAAACCGGAGGAAGGUGGGGAUGACGUCAAAUCAUCAUGCCCCUUAUGAUUUGGGCUACACACGUGCUACAAUGGACAAUACAAAGGGUAGCGAAACCGCAAGGUCAAGCAAAUCCCAUAAAGUUGUUCUCAGUUCGGAUUGUAGUCUGCAACUCGACUAUAUGAAGCUGGAAUCGCUAGUAAUCGUAGAUCAGCAUGCUACGGUGAAUACGUUCCCGGGUCU
rnacentral:rRNA from 1 species